UACGUAGGGGGCAAGCGUUGUCCGGAAUCAUUGGGCGUAAAGCGCGUGUAGGCGGCCCGGUAAGUCCGCUGUGAAAGUCGGGGGCUCAACCCUCGAAUGCCGGUGGAUACUGUCGGGCUAGAGUGCGGGAGAGGCGAGUGGAAUUCCUGGUGUAGCGGUGAAAUGCGCAGAUAUCAGGAGGAACACCGGUGGCGAAGGCGGGUCUCUGGGCCGAUACUGACGCUGAGGAGCGAAAGCCAGGGGAGCGAACGGG
rnacentral:rRNA from 1 species